rnacentral:rRNA from 1 species
CCCAGAGAUGGGUUCGCUGUAAAGUCGAGCGGAUGACGGGAGCUUGCUCCUUGAUUAGCGGCGGACGGGUGAGUAAUGCCUAGGAAUCUGCCUGGUAGUGGGGGACAACGUUUCGAAAGGAACGCUAAUACCGCAUACGUCCUACGGGAGAAAGCAGGGGACCUUCGGGCCUUGCGCUAUCAGAUGAGCCUAGGUCGGAUUAGCUAGUUGGUGAGGUAAUGGCUCACCAAGGCGACGAUCCGUAACUGGUCUGAGAGGAUGAUCAGUCACACUGGAACUGAGACACGGUCCAGACUCCUACGGGAGGCAGCAGUGGGGAAUAUUGGACAAUGGGCGAAAGCCUGAUCCAGCCAUGCCGCGUGUGUGAAGAAGGUCUUCGGAUUGUAAAGCACUUUAAGUUGGGAGGAAGGGCAGUAAGUUAAUACCUUGCUGUUUUGACGUUACCGACAGAAUAAGCACCGGCUAACUCUGUGCCAGCAGCCGCGGUAAUACAGAGGGUGCAAGCGUUAAUCGGAAUUACUGGGCGUAAAGCGCGCGUAGGUGGUUCGUUAAGUUGGAUGUGAAAGCCCCGGGCUCAACCUGGGAACUGCAUCCAAAACUGGCGAGCUAGAGUACGGUAGAGGGUGGUGGAAUUUCCUGUGUAGCGGGGAAAUGCGUAGAUAUUGGAAGGAACACCCGUGGCGAAAGCGACCACCUGGACUGAUACUGACCCCUGGGUGCGGAAGCGUGGGGAGCAAACAGGAUAGAU